CCCUUAGAUGUUCUGGGCCGCACGCGCGCUACACUGAUGAAUUCAACGAGCUCCUAACCUAGGCCGAAGGGUCCGGGCAAUCUUUGAAAUUUCAUCGUGAUGGGGAUAGAUUAUUGCAAUUAUUAAUCUUCAACGAGGAAUUCCUAGUAAGCGCGAGUCAUCAGCUCGCGUUGAUUACGUCCCUGCCCUUUGUACACACCGCCCGUCGCUCCUACCGAUUGAAUGGUCCGGUGAAAUGUUCGGACCGCGACAAGGCGGACGGUUCGCUGUCAGCUUUGCUGCGGGAAGUUCAUUAAACCUUAUCAUUUAGAGGAAGGAGAAGUCGUAACA
rnacentral:rRNA from 1 species